rnacentral:rRNA from 1 species
CUACGGGAGGCAGCAGUGGGGAAUAUUGCGCAAUGGGCGAAAGCCUGACGCAGCAACGCCGCGUGAGUGAUGAAGGCCUUCGGGUCGUAAAGCUCUGUCGGGAGGGAAGAACACCUUCGGGUCUGACGGUACCUCCCGAGGAAGCACAGGCUAACUCCGUGCCAGCAGCCGCGGUAAUACGGAGUGUGCAAGCGUUGUUCGGAAUUACUGGGCGUAAAGCGCGCGUAGGCGGCUUGAUAAGUCAGAUGUGAAAUCCCUCGGCUUAACCGAGGAACUGCAUUUGAAACUGUCAGGCUUGAGUACGGGAGGGGGAAGCGGAAUUCCCAGUGUAGAGGUGAAAUUCGUAGAUAUUGGGAGGAACACCAGCGGCGAAGGCGGCUUCCUGGACCGAUACUGACGCUGAGGCGCGAAAGCGUGGGGAGCAAACGGGAUUAGAUACCCUCGUAGUC